AUUGAACGCUGGCGGCAGACCUAACACAUGCAAGUCGAACGGUAACAGGAAGCAGCUUGCUGCUUCGCUGACGAGUGGCGGACGGGUGAGUAAUGUCUGGGAAGCUGCCUGAUGGAGGGGGAUAACUACUGGAAACGGUAGCUAAUACCGCAUAAUGUCGCAAGACCAAAGAGGGGGACCUUCGGGCCUCUUGCCAUCGGAUGUGCCCAGAUGGGAUUAGCUUGUUGGUGGGGUAACGGCUCACCAAGGCGACGAUCCCUAGCUGGUCUGAGAGGAUGACCAGCCACACUGGAACUGAGACACGGUCCAGACUCCUACGGGAGGCAGCAGUGGGGAAUAUUGCACAAUGGGCGCAAGCCUGAUGCAGCCAUGCCGCGUGUAUGAAGAAGGCCUUCGGGUUGUAAAGUACUUUCAGCGGGGAGGAAGGGAGUAAAGUUAAUACCUUGGCUCAUUGACGUUACCCGCAGAAGAAGCACCGGCUAACUCCGUG
rnacentral:rRNA from 1 species